GAUGCGCGGGAAGUGUUGGAAGAUCCAAGCCUGAAAAGUUUGGAACACACGAAUCAUCAGUAAUAGCAUUGUAAAGAUGAAAUGAAAAGGACAUAAGAACAUUAAAAGACCAAUAAACAUUAUCAUCGGUUGUGUGAUGCUUCAUGUGACCUCCUUCGUCUUCCACUUACAACCCUAUGAUAACUUUGAGUACAAGUAAACCAAAC
rnacentral:lncRNA from 1 species